rnacentral:tRNA from 1 species
GAGGGUGUAGCUCAGCGGUGGAGUGAAUGCUUGACAUGCAUCAGUUCUGGGUACAGUCCCCAGUACCUCCA